rnacentral:ncRNA from 1 species
UAAACCGACACAGGUGAUCAGGUAGAGAAUACCCAGGCGCUUGAGAGAACUCGGGUGAAGGAACUAGGCAAAAUAGCACCGUAACUUCGGGAGAAGGUGCACCGGUGCUGGUGAUGGGACUUGCUCCCUAAGCUAGCGCUGGUCGAAGUGACUAGGUGGCUGCGACUGUUUAUUAAAAACAUAGCACUCUGCAAACACGAAAGUGGACGUAUAGGGUGUGACGCCUGCCCGGUGCCGGAAGG